rnacentral:lncRNA from 1 species
GACAAGAGGAAACACGUGGUAGCCGGAGUAUUGGGUCCCGAGGUUAGGGAAACAAAACGUUUUUGCUUGGACCUCAGAUUGGCAGUAGGCAGCGGGGCUUUUCACCGUCCGGAUGAAAUACGGGGAAAUGGGAGUCGCCUGGGAUGGGCCCUGCAGCUCGCCCUGAGCGGGGCGUGCGGGCCCGUCUGGCCCGACGAGAGCAGGCGAGGUCCAGGCAGGCCCGAGCUCAGCAGGCUGACUGUCCGACCACGGCGCCUCGCCAGCAUUACAAGUGUUUUCUCCUGUAAAUUACAGACAGCUGGGACUUCUUUCCACAAGGUCUCAUCUGGAAUACAGUGGACAGAAGAGAUCAGAGGUACUGCAGAUCUAUAAUGGUUCUUCAAGCCUUAUUUAAUCUACAGGAGCUGCAGUUCUUCUCACAAGCUGGUGACUCCUGUCAUUCACAAUUGCUAAUGAGUAUGCACAGUCCUUGACUUUGUUUCUUUAAAGGGACACUGUACGAAAUGGCAUCUGUAUUAGAAGAUCAGGAAGGUCAGAAAGGAAAAACCCUAAUUUCGCAAUAUUUUAACAUACAAUGCCUGUGGAUGUUCUGAAAACCUGACAGAACUGCAGCAUCUGUGCAUGUACAAAAGAGCUUGGAAGUGAACAAUUUACUGCUUUUUCAUUAUUGAGAAAAGUAUUACUUUUUCAGUAACAAUGAGGCCCUUAAAUGCUCCUUAAAGCAGUACCAGGUAUAUGCAUACACACUUCUCAUUAGUAAAUCCUGCAUAUAUUUUCCUGACGGUAUCCAAGGAAAGUCUAAAUAAGAAUAUUAAAUCAUAUUCCCACGAGUCUCUUCUAAAUUCAAAAUUACACAUCUGCACAGCAAAUCUCCAUUAACAAUAUUUUUCAGUGUAAUGCAGUACAAAAUUGAUACAUAUGUAAAUUAUUUCACUUGCAGAAUUACAAUGACAUACUUUGUGUUCUUUCUGUACAAGAAACAUCCCCAAGUCACUCAUUAAAAGUGGUGAGGCCACUUAGGUCAAUGAUAUACAGGCAGCUUGAAAGACGCUGGCAUUUUAAGUGGCAUGUUUAGAGUUUGUCUAUGGUUGUAUUCUUCCUGUAUUUCUUAAUAAUUAGCUGCAGGAAGGUACGAUACAUUUUACAUUUGUAUUUUACCUUUCAUGUGAAAAAAACAUGCAUUGCAGCCAGGAAUAGCUGUGCCACCUCAUAGACGGUUUGACCUUGUCUUUGCUGCCCUUGAUCUUUCUGCAGGGUUUCUUUAGUUUGUGAAUACACAAGGCAAAAGUGGACUUUAGUGAGGUUAAGACUGAAAAGCCCUUACUGAUCUCCUCAAGAUGUCCUCCCUUUGUGAUCACGUUGGCAAUCACUUGAAGAACUGCUUGAUUCUCCUCUUGAGCUUUUGUGACUUCUAAAAGUGUAAAACAGAAAAACACAUAAUAGAAUCUUGGGAAAACAUGAAAUGCAUAAAUACAUAAAUAUUGGCAUUUAAUAGUGGAAUUCUAAACAGAAGAUCACUUUAUGAAACCUUUCUUUCCAAAAAGCUUGCUUUAGUCAUGUCUUCAGUACGCCAAGUUUAGAGUGAUAUUUGGUUUUCUUUUUUUCUUUCUUUCUUUUUUUUUUUGUUUUUGUUUUUGUACAGUUUUCAUUUGGGGAAAGAUGUUUUGUAACAGCUAAUGUUGCUGUCACAUCUCCUGUACAGUGCAGUACAUUGCCUUUCACUUCAGUGAUCUGAUAUGACCUUUUACUUGUUGAGGAAGAUAUAUACUGACUGGUAUCGCUUUUUUUGCAAGAUAUUAGUGAAGAUGUUUUCAUUUAUUAAAUUCAAGUUUUAUUUGGCUUUUGGUGAUUCUUUCGUUCCAGCAGAGAGUAUCAUAACUACUUGAUUCUAAGGUAAAAGUCAACAAUUAUUUGAUCCCUCAGGCUUGCAAAUUAACAUUUAACAAUUACCAGACUUUAAAAACUUCCAUUCAUAUACAGAGUUUUACAUUCAUUUCACGUAAGUGAGAUUAAAGCUAUUUUUGAAGAAAGUCACAAAAGGACUGCUGGAUAGUACAUUAACUGUCCACUCCUUCACCAUGUAUUUAUAAAACAUUCUGUGAUCCCUGACAGCUGAGGAUGCUGAGCUGGACUUCAUCUCUUGAGUGAGAGUAGUGGGGAGCCCCAGCAGGUUCGCUCAUCACUUUCCAGCAGGCUGUUUUCAGGAUACAGAUCUGCACCACAUCAGAGCUGGGAGAGCCAGAAGGGCUGCUCUGGCAUGGAACUGCUGUGCAGAAUAUCCACGGGUGAAUUACACAGUGCAUGGUUGAGAGUGAUCUUGUUUGGCAUGUAGAAGCGCUGUCUUACUGCAAAUGCUAAAUAGUGAUGAUUUCCAGAUGCAUCAGUCAGUUUUCACAUGUUAUCUGUCUUACAUGAACAGGGUACUUUCUGUGCCACAGUGCAGUAGUCAGUAUCCUGGAAAUUACUGAGCCUGGCUUUCUCCACUGAUACAAAGAUGGCUCUGGUUGGGUCAGUUCUUUGUGUAGACCUGGAAAGCUCCAUCUGGCCUUGGAGAAGUUCUGCUGACAGCUCACCUGCUGGCACUGAACUCGGAUUAGACUGCUUGUUACUUGAAAUUCACAUGAACAGCUGUUGAAAUAGUCAUUAUGCAGUAUUAUCUACCAGAAUGUGUUUGCCCUUUAUAUGAAAAUUCUAAAUUAUUCAGUAAGUCUAUUUCUCUUUUAUAAACUGUGAUUUUCAUGUUGAGCAUAAUAGCAAAUGCUAUUAUUGUUUACUCUGAAGUGUCAGAUUAUAUGUAAAUAAAUAUGUAGACUCGAUAUUCACAUAAUGAAUUGUCAUACUGCCACUCUAUUCCAAU